rnacentral:misc_RNA from 1 species
CAUUUCUCUCUUCCAUUCAGUGUGACAACAAUUACCCAAGCUGCACACUUGUCUCCGACUCACUCUCACAUUAACCAUGGCACAUCAGUCCACACCGAUCGCAUUAUUUAUCUUGUUUUUAGCACUAUUAUGGCCUGCAUGCUUGGCCGAAAUGAUCAAAGGAUCUGUGCCAUUAAAUUCCGGCGUUUUUGAUAAGGUUAUCAGUAAACACAAAGCAGUUUUGGUGAAAUUUGAUGAAACUUAUCCUUAUGGUGAAAAACAAGAGCAGUUUAAAAAGGUUGCUCAGUCAUCUUACGUACAACCAGAAUUACUAAUUGCUGAAGUUCAAAUUGCUGAUUAUGGUGAACAAGAAAAUAUGGACCUUGCUACCCGGUUUAAUGUCAAAAAAGAAGAUUUCCCUGUUUAUAAACUGUUUCUGCAGGAUAAGAAAGAACCAAUCGCUUAUACAGGAAACGUGAAAGAUUCUGCAGCAAUAAAAAGAUUUGUUAUGAAAAAUACAGAUCUCUGGCUAGGAAUGCCAGGCUGUUUAGAAGACUAUGAUGUUCUUGUGAAGAAAUUUGCCCGUGCUUCAUCUGAAGAGAGACAAGCAAUUCUUGCCGAAGCUGAAGAAAUUAAAAAUAAGUAUAGAAAUGAUGUGCAGAAAUCCUACGCUACAAUCUAUGUAAAAACAAUGAAAAAAAUAAUGGAAAAGGACGAUUUCUUGGCAUCAGAAAUGAAACGAGUAGAGAAAUUAAAAGACGGAAAAGUAAGUGACAAAAAGAAGGAACAGCUUAGUGAUAGAUUAAACAUUCUUAAUUCCUUCCAUGUAAAAUUCCAAGAUGAACUAUAACAGGUCCCAGUUGUUUUAAUCAUUAUUACUUUUUUUUUUUCUGAAAUACUAUUCAUAUACAUGAUUAAUAUAUUUCCAUAUCAAUAAACAUCAUUCCUCUUUAUAUUUCUUUUUAGAGAAAAACAAACAAAAUGUGUAAAACAAGACUUUUAUUUCAUGUUACACCUCUUGGAGAAUGUUAUUUCUUUCUGUUUCAAAAGGUUUUUUUUUUUACAAAUUUGUUGUAAGCAUUUAGAUUAAAUAGCAUUAAUUUAAGACUUGGUACUAAGUGCAUUUAAGUUUGGAAUGUAGCAAAGUGUAAAUGCCCCUAAUGCUGCUGAGUAUUUUAAUCUUGUGUUUCAGAAGUUCCAAAUUUUC